rnacentral:lncRNA from 1 species
GGAAAGGCUUUGCUGUGUUUCCUCUGCAGAGAAAGUGCCCAGGUAACAGAGAUGACUCAAAAUCAUGUACAUUAGCAGUCAGAUCAGACAAACCAAAGCCUCACGGUGUGCCCACGUCGGAACUCCUUCUCCUAGCAUUUUUCUGGGUCAGCCUGGAUUGAGACACACUGGCCUUUAGAACUUGAAUAAAAUGCCGUUUCACUCAUUGCCAUCUUCGAUAGUUGGUAGAAGGUGAUUGCAGUUCCAAGUGGUGUCACCAUUUUAGUGAGUGCAUUGUGAAGGGAUAAGUAAGCAGAGAUGCAAAACCUCUUCCACUUCUUUUCCAUGAAGCACAGCUUUCAGAAGAAUUGAACUAUAGUAAAUGGCAGAGAGUCUAGCACAAUUAAGUAUUUCUAAACCAGGACUGAAAAUGAAGAAAUGAUCACCAUAGAGGAAACAAAAUCAGAGAGGAUAGGAAACCUGUCCAAAGUCAUAUGGCUGAUAAGAGGCAGAGUGAAGACUGGACCUGAGCAAGUUUGGUGUAGAAGCCUGUGCUCUUAACUGCCAUCCUAGAUUCUUUCUUAAGACUUCUUCUGAGGAUCAGCCUCAUACAAAAGGGUAAUGGUGGCAGCAGCUCCAGAACUCAUAUCAUAUCCUCCCAUGUUAAAGUCAAAUGAGAAAAGUCUGUCUUCGCCCCAGGAUUCCCAGCGAUGCCUCCUGAUGUGUCAUUGGCUCGGAUUGCAUCAUGUGCCCUCCGUGGACUUUGUCCAGAUGAAUGUUUUAGAUUCCUUGUCCCCAGUUACCUCAUCUUUAAAAUGAAGACAAGACUCAGAGUUGGCUUUCCAGACCUAAGCUUCAUGUUCUGCCUGUGUGAUUCUGUCUUCACGAUUCUCAUGUUCAAUUACCAAUACUCAAUUCUGUCUUCUACUAAGUAUGUACAGCUCUAAAAGACACACCUCAGUAUGGGCAAUGUUCUCUUAAACUGUGAUAUCCAAAGCAACUUGUCUUUGCUAAAUGAGUACACUUAGCUUGUUUGGAAGAAACUGUCAUUUUACUCUCUAAAGCUUACUUCAUAGGA